GCGCCCAUAGCUCAGCCGGAUAGAGCAACUGCCUUCUAAGCAGUAGGUCGCAGGUUCGAAUCCUGCUGGGCGCGC
rnacentral:tRNA from 1 species